UGCACUUAUAAUAUUGCCGAACGUAUAAAGGAUGAAGGAGGGACCUUUUUUGUUCACGUUCGCGGUAGCUCAGUGGUAGAGCGUUCGCUUCGUAAUCGGGAGGUCGUGAGUUCGAUGUGAUAGGGGUCUCAUAUUUCAUAUGUGUAUUCCUUGUGAUAGAGGACAUUUCCUGUACCAAAGUGUUUGACCUUGUGACCUUGACAUUUGACGGACUUUUAAGAAAACUUAAUCUAGGCAAUAUCUCCUGAACGGUUUUAGGUAGGACUUUCUUAUUUUGUACAAAGAUUUCUUAUGGCAAGAAAUAUCAUUUGAUGCUAUGUGUGACCUUGAUGUGUAACCCAAAUUCCAAAAUUGAAUAGAAAUUAACUUUAAUCAUCCUCAUAACUUUUGAAUGGUGAGUGAUAUAGCUUUCAUAUUUGAUGUGUGUAUUCCUUGUGGUAAGACCUUUCUUUUGGAAUCAAAGUUUUUUACCUUGUAAUCUUGACCUUGGAUUGUGAUCUACUUUUAAGAAACGUUAACCUAAGCAAUAUCUUUUGAACUGUUUAAGGUACGGCUUUCACAUUUUGUAUUUUAAAAUAUAAAAAUGCCUUAUUACAAGACCUUUCAUUUCAUACCAAGGCAUGCUUUUUAACCUUGUAACUAAAUCUUUCAUGGCUAUAUGUUGUGACACUAAUGGGCUAAGUUUGGGUCAUAACAUAAAAGCUUAAAAGUUUUUAUGGGAAUAAAGAAUGCCAAACAAUCUGUUUAAAAUUACAAUAGCUGAACAGCAGCAGGGCAAAGAUGACUCAGGCGAUUGAUGUGACCCAAGGACCUCGUUUAAAAUGACCAUCAAAAUGAUUAUUGAAUUAUUUUUCUUAUUUGUUUUCUCACGUGCCUUCGAGAAAUUUUCACUGUCACCAGUUGUAGGCGAAGUACCACAAAUUUUGAAUCUUUUAGGCAUGUUUAAUUAGAUAUUCUUAUCAUACACCAAAUCACAGCGAAAUUUGACUCAAGAAUUUCUUAUUUGCAAACAAAACACAUUUUUUAUCAUUCCGUGAAAAAUCACAAAAAAUUAAUAUAUGAUAGCUUGUAUCACUCUUUCGAUGGCGAAAUCAUGCUUCAUAGGGUGUUUUAACGAGCCAUUGAAUAAGACUUUAGUGUAAUGAUUGAUUGAUUGAUGUUUUCCGCCACACUCAACAACUUUUCAGUUAUCUGGUGGCGCCCAGUUUUUAUUGGUGGAAGAUACAAUGUACCUGGGAAGAGACCACCGACCUUCCGAAAGUAAACUGGGAAACUUUCUCACUUACCUGCGCGAUCGGGAUUCGAACCCGCUCCGACAGAGGUGAGAAGCCGUCUGAUUUUGAGCGCGAUGCUCUAACCACUCGGCCACUGAGAAUGAGCUACCAUAACGUACAUAUGUGACAGACUCAUAUUAUACAUGUAUAUUGUAUAAUAUGAUGGGUAUAUGUAUAAAGAAUCGGUUCAUUGAAUAAAAUGCUUAGGCAAGGUAAUGUAAUUUAAACAUGCAGUCAAGCAUAUAAAUUUGGUCACUUUCCCAGUGUAAUGGCCUGGGGUAUAUAAUUAUAUUUUGGCCAAAUAUCCCUUGUGUCUUUUAAUUUCAUUGGUGUUUUAGUUUGUCUCAUGUCAUUGGAUUGGUCUUGGAGAUUUUCCCUCCAAGAGUUCUGUUCUUUGUGGUCAGUUUUUAUUCAGUUUUUGAAGAAGAGAGUUGAUUUCAGUAGAUCUGACAUAUUUUGACAAUUAGACAUAGACCGACAUUUUUCCUCUUGAAUGGUAAGUUAAUAAUUUAUUACUAAUGCUAAUCUAUUCUAUAAUUCCUUUACUAAAUGUUAAAUCUGUAAUUUUGCAUAAAAUUCCUUUUGUUGCCACAUUCCUGGAAUAAAUGAUCAGUGAGAGUGAGACUUAUAUAAUGUAAAUAUCUGUGAUAGUAAUGUAUAUGAUUCGUCUCACUGUGAUAUUAUUUUAAAGUAAAAGUAUGUUUUAUGACUUACAAGAUAUUGUAGAUAUCAUAAUUAAUUUAUAGAUCAGACCAGUUUGGUGUCAUCUGUAAAUAUUGUUCACUCGAGCCUAUUCCCAUAGAAUGGGUUUCAUCAUUGGACAAUUCGUGCAUUGCAUGGUAACUCCUGAAUAAACGUCUUGUCGAGAACCCAAA